AUACGGAGGGUGCAAGCGUUAUCCGGAAUCAUUGGGUUUAAAGGGUCCGUAGGCGGGCAAUUAAGUCAGAGGUGAAAUCCCACAGCUCAACUGUGGAACUGCCUUUGAUACUGAUUGCCUUGAAUUUUAGUGAAGUAGAUAGAAUAUGUAGUGUAGCGGUGAAAUGCAUAGAUAUUACAUAGAAUACCGAUUGCGAAGGCAGUCUACUAACUAACAAUUGACGCUAAUGGACGAAAGCGUGGGGAGCGAACAGGAUUAGAAACCCUAGUAGUCC
rnacentral:rRNA from 1 species